CUGCGGAAGGAUCAUUACCUAGAGUUUGUAGACUUCGGUCUGCUACCUCUUACCCAUGUCUUUUGAGUACCUUCGUUUCCUCGGCGGGUCCGCCCGCCGAUUGGACAACAUUCAAACCCUUUGCAGUUGCAAUCAGCGUCUGAAAAAACAUAAUAGUUACAACUUUCAACAACGGAUCUCUUGGUUCUGGCAUCGAUGAAGAACGCAGCGAAAUGCGAUAAGUAGUGUGAAUUGCAGAAUUCAGUGAAUCAUCGAAUCUUUGAACGCACAUUGCGCCCCUUGGUAUUCCAUGGGGCAUGCCUGUUCGAGCGUCAUUUGUACCUUCAAGCUCUGCUUGGUGUUGGGUGUUUGUCUCGCCUCUGCGUGUAGACUCGCCUUAAAACAAUUGGCAGCCGGCGUAUUGAUUUCGGAGCGCAGUACAUCUCGCGCUUUGCACUCAUAACGACGACGUCCAAAAGUACAUUUUUACACUCUUGACCUCGGAUCAGGUAGGGAUACCCGCUGAACUUAAGCAUAUCAAUAAGCGGAGGAAAAGAAACCAACAGGGAUUGCCCUAGUAACGGCGAGUGAAGCGGCAACAGCUCAAUUUGAAAUCUGGCGUCUUUGGCGUCCGAGUUGUAAUUUGCAGAGGGCGCUUUGGCAUUGGCAGCGGUCCAAGUUCCUUGGAACAGGACGUCACAGAGGGUGAGAAUCCCGUACGUGGUCGCUAGCCUUUACCGUGUAAAGCCCCUUCGACGAGUCGAGUUGUUUGGGAAUGCAGCUC
rnacentral:rRNA from 1 species